UUUCCGUAGGUGAACCUGCGGAAGGAUCAUUACCGAGUAAUCCUGUACUCCAGGAACUCCCACCCUUGGCAAUUCGACGUUGCUUCGGCGAGUCGUUGGAAACAGCCGUUGGCGGAAGAACAAUUCUGCCGGCGCGCGCUCGCCGGGGGCCCAAAACUCUUGUUUAUUUAUGUUUCCUCUCCGAGUGGCACAAGCAAAAUAAAUCAAAACUUUCAACAACGGAUCUCUUGGUUCUGGCAUCGAUAAAGAACGCAGC
rnacentral:misc_RNA from 1 species